rnacentral:misc_RNA from 1 species
AUAAAAAAACCUUGAUUCUGGAAAGACUGCCAAACAAAUUUUACUUAGAAAGAAGUCGUCCCUUAUCAUAUCUAUAAAAGAACAGUGAGAACAGAAUAAUCUCCUCGCCAAGUAUGUAACAAAAGACGAAACAUUUUGCAUCUUUUCCAUCUAAUCCUAAGAGUAAAACUUUUCAAUAGUAACCAAGACACGUGCAAAAUUAUUAGGAAAAAAAAGGUCCAUUAACCAAUUACUGUCCCUUUUCUGCAUUUUUACUUUUCAUCCAUUAAGUGAGCCAUGCAGAAU